rnacentral:rRNA from 1 species
UUGAACGCUGGCGGCAGGCCUAACACAUGCAAGUCGAGCGGUAGCACAGAGAGCUUGCUCUCGGGUGACGAGCGGCGGACGGGUGAGUAAUGUCUGGGAAACUGCCUGAUGGAGGGGGAUAACUACUGGAAACGGUAGCUAAUACCGCAUAAUGUCGCAAGACCAAAGUGGGGGACCUUCGGGCCUCAUGCCAUCAGAUGUGCCCAGAUGGGAUUAGCUAGUAGGUGGGGUAACGGCUCACCUAGGCGACGAUCCCUAGCUGGUCUGAGAGGAUGACCAGCCACACUGGAACUGAGACACGGUCCAGACUCCUACGGGAGGCAGCAGUGGGGAAUAUUGCACAAUGGGCGCAAGCCUGAUGCAGCCAUGCCGCGUGUGUGAAGAAGGCCUUCGGGUUGUAAAGCACUUUCAGCGGGGAGGAAGGCGGUGAGGUUAAUAACCUCAUCGAUUGACGUUACCCGCAGAAGAAGCACCGGCUAACUCCGUGCCAGCAGCCGCGGUAAUACGGAGGGUGCAAGCGUUAAUCGGAAUUACUGGGCGUAAAGCGCACGCAGGCGGUCUGUCAAGUCGGAUGUGAAAUCCCCGGGCUCAACCUGGGAACUGCAUUCGAAACUGGCAGGCUAGAGUCUUGUAGAGGGGGGUAGAAUUCCAGGUGUAGCGGUGAAAUGCGUAGAGAUCUGGAGGAAUACCGGUGGCGAAGGCGGCCCCCUGGACAAAGACUGACGCUCAGGUGCGAAAGCGUGGGGAGCAAACAGGAUUAGAUACCCUGGUAGUCCACGCCGUAAACGAUGUCGAUUUGGAGGUUGUGCCCUUGAGGCGUGGCUUCCGGAGCUAACGCGUUAAAUCGACCGCCUGGGGAGUACGGCCGCAAGGUUAAAACUCAAAUGAAUUGACGGGGGCCCGCACAAGCGGUGGAGCAUGUGGUUUAAUUCGAUGCAACGCGAAGAACCUUACCUGGUCUUGACAUCCACAGAACUUUCCAGAGAUGGAUUGGUGCCUUCGGGAACUGUGAGACAGGUGCUGCAUGGCUGUCGUCAGCUCGUGUUGUGAAAUGUUGGGUUAAGUCCCGCAACGAGCGCAACCCUUAUCCUUUGUUGCCAGCGGUUAGGCCGGGAACUCAAAGGAGACUGCCAGUGAUAAACUGGAGGAAGGUGGGGAUGACGUCAAGUCAUCAUGGCCCUUACGACCAGGGCUACACACGUGCUACAAUGGCAUAUACAAAGAGAAGCGACCUCGCGAGAGCAAGCGGACCUCAUAAAGUAUGUCGUAGUCCGGAUUGGAGUCUGCAACUCGACUCCGUGAAGUCGGAAUCGCUAGUAAUCGUAGAUCAGAAUGCUACGGUGAAUACGUUCCCGGGCCUUGUACACACCGCCCGUCACACCAUGGGAGUGGGUUGCAAAAGAAGUAGGUAGCUUAACCUUCGGGAGGGCGCUUACCACUUUGUGAUUCAUGACUGGGGUG